GUACUCAUUCUGGCAGCACAUAUACUAAAAUUGGAAUGAUCUAGAGAUUAGCAUGGCCCCUGAGCAAGGAUGACAUGCAAAUUUGAGAAUCAUUACAUAUUUUU